rnacentral:siRNA from 1 species
UUAUUAGUUUCUAGUGAUUGCC